rnacentral:lncRNA from 1 species
CCAGCUGUGCCUUCUCUCUCAGUCGGUCUUAUGGUUUGUUCUUGAGAGAGAAAAUUUCUAAAACAGAUAAAAUUUUAUGAGCGUGUGAGAAGAGUAUAGGAGGCCUUUCCGUGUGUUGAUCCUUGUCCUAGGGUAUGUUGUGCUGUGCUUGGAAGGGUGGUAAGACCUUAGAUUUUGAGUUUGUAAGUUCCUUUCCUCUUUUAUCCUUAAGUCUCUUUUUGAUCGGUUUUAGCGUGAACCUUAGAUCUUUUGCUUUUGGAGGUUUUGUGCGGCUUGUGAAGACCUAUAUGGGUUCCCUUUGUGUGUAUGUGUGUAAGUGUUAUAUGUUGCUAACCAUGUGUGUGUGCAGGUUGGAGGGCUUCAAACGUGAGGGUUCUUGAGCUUGAAUCGCCUUUGCGGUUUAUGUGUGUGUGUAUGGGAGUUGGUAAACCCCAUACUUGAGUGUUUAAUUAUAUUUCAUAAUAUAGUUAUGAGUAGGCAUAUCAUGUCUUAUUGUUGUGAACAUGGUCAUCUAGGGGUGAUGCCAUGAUUGAUAUGCAUUGUGUUGUUAAGUGGUUAGAUUACAUGCAUGCAUUGUUAGUUUUGUAGUUGCAUAUGUUUUGGAGUUGUGUAGCAUGUAGAUUUGAGUGGAACUCUCUCAUGCCGGUUCAUAUGUAUUGCAUGUAGUGUAGUUGGGGUUGCAUAGAGAUUUGAGUGAGACUCUCUCUUAUGUCGGGUAGUUGUUUAGUGUGUCGCUCACUUGAGUCGUUUUAUUUUGAGUCUAGACCAAGUGUUGCAUGGAGGUUAGAAGUGGAGCUUCCUCAUGCUAGUUGUGUUGUGUGUUUUAGUCUAACUAGUGCGAGUGUGUGUUUGUGUCUUGCAUUCAGUCUAGAUGCGCGUCACAUGGAGGUUAGAGGUGGAGCUCCCUCAUGCUAGUUGUGUUGUGUUGCAUCUAGACUAGCGCUUGUGAGUGUGUGGCCGUCUCGGAGUUAGAUUGGGAGAAGCCUAAUUCUCCAGUGGUGGAGUGACCUACUCUCCACGGCUUGUCACGUGAAGUGGGUCGCACCCAUGGACAAGCGCUGCAUGACGAUGCGGCCCGGGUUAGAUUGGGAGAAGCCCAAUUCCCGAAGUGCUAUUUUCCGGACAUGUGACUUUGGUGUUUGUGGUCGGGAGUGUUCAGGGUGGAGAGAUAGCACUCCGUGGUGUGAAGGGAUCCCGGGAUGUGUAGCAUGAGGCUCCGUCCUUCAAGUGUUUUGUUUUUGGUGGAGUCGAGUCUAGGAUUGAGUUUAGAUUGUCGUGGAGUUUGUAUUUAGGUCUCGGGAUGAGACUAGGGAGUAGAGUCAUUGCAUUACAUUCAUGUUUAAGUCAUUGCAUUGCAUUCAUGUUUAAGUUAUUGCAUUGCUUUAAGUUGUUUCACGUUUACUCUUCCGCGUUUCAUUCUGUUUAUUGCUUGUGUUUGAGCAGAGGUGAGGGGUCGUUGUUGUUGUGUGUUUGGGAACUCACUGAGUAAUCUAUGAUUGCUCAUUCCCCCCCCCCCUUUUCUUUGCAGGUAACCGUAGAGGGUCGGGCGUUUGCGGGGUGUGGAGGAUGACAAGGAGAAAGAUGUUUAUGUUUUCACUCGUUUUUAUUUUCAUGGGUACCCGUUUGACUCGUUAUUUUCUCUUUGUUGUUGUAUUUGAGGACCUUAGUCGAGUUUCUGACUUUGCAAAAUAAAUAAAAGUAUGUUUCUUUAAUAAAAUCACUGUAGAACGCUGAUAUAUAGUUUUGUCUGAACUUAACACAACUCUCAACCGAGGUACGGGUUUGCAAGCCUUAGGCUGAGGUCGAGAGGGACGGUAUCAUGGACGGACUUGUCGAGACUUUUAAAUUGUGUAGAGUUUUGGCCUGACUGACUGCAGUACUCGUCAAAAUUGUGGCGCUUCCGGGACGUUCCGGGUUAGUCUGGCCUAGGACGGUUUGGGGGUGCUACAGGCGGUCCCUGGGACCGAACCCAGAGUGCCUCCUAGCGGGGAGCCAGAGGCCGGUGUCCUGCCUGGGGUCUGGAGAAAUUCAAUACCUGAGUAUUUUUCCCAACAACAGUGCGGAUCAGAAAUCGAUUGACACUCAAAAGGUGGAAUCGAUCGACAAUAGUCCAGGAGAUUGGGAACAUGACAACUACAAUCCCACCAUGGCGGUACACACUGCGAUACCCACCGGAGAUACACUGCAUACAGAGGAGUAUGAUGAGGAUUACAAGGAGGAACAAGCUACAAAGUACAUAUAUAUUCGUACUGAGGAAGAUAUACUUCUCUACCAUUCCUUUUGGCAAAGGAAUGUGACAUCGAUCGACGGAAACAUUCCACCAUCGAUUGACACUCAUCAUCAUCAAACAAACCGCAAACGAGCAUCGACUGACAUUCUACUACCGAUCGAUCGAAACUAGAGUCGACCAUGCAUGAGAAGGAGAUUUGUCAAUUGGCAGUUGGGCAGAUGAUCGCUAUCAUGAGAACUAUGCAGCAGAGACAACAGUACAUGAGCCAGGAGCAGAUGAACCCCAUGAAGGUUUCACAACUGAGGAGCUACUUAACCACCAGGAACACUCAUAUACGGAUUCAGUUCCUGCAGAAGCUUGUGGAAGAGGGAUCUGUUUCUAUCAUCCUUACUCUUGAGCUAACCACCCAUCGAUUGACAUCAACAUUCCAUCAUCGAUCGACAACCAUCUAAAACCACCAUCCACUGUAAGCGAAAAAGCUAAACAUGAUAAUAAGUAUCUAACACAGGAUGAGUUCGGUAUUUUCAGGGACCCAGAUGCCUAUGCAAGAGCAAUGGAUGGACAUGCACUGCACAUAUCCAAAGAGGACAUUGCAGACAUUCUUCAGAUGUCUAAUGGAGCAGACAAUCUCUUCCUGCAACAACGUAACAUUCAGAGCACCAGCAGAGGGUUAGAAACGAGUUCUAUGACACAGCUGGUGGAGUAGACAAUUGUUUCAAGCAGAAGUAUCGACAUCAUACUCGACCGUCGAUCGACAUUAUUGGCGAAAAAUACUCAGGUAUAGAAUUCCUGCAGACCCCAGGCAGGAUACCGGUCUCUGGGUCCCCGCUAGGAUAUGCCCCGGGUCCCCGCUCGAAAGUAUUCUGGGUCCGGGUCCUAGGGACCACGCCCUUCCUCCGGGAAAGGAAAACUUCCGAUAAGGAGAACCUUCCAUAUUUCGGAAUAUAGAAGAGUUUAACCUACUCAAACCGACUAAGGUAGACCUAAAACAACUAUAUAAGGGGAGCCUAAACCCUAGGGCAGGCGAUCGACACUUCGCCACCUCUCUUCUUCUUUCAAUCGAGUUGCUAAAGCACCUCUCCCAGGACCGGUCACUAAGCCUACAGCCAAUGCUAUAUCUCUUGCUAUGGCUCUUAGCUCAGGGUGGCCCUUGAUUAUCAAAAAGGGGAGCAAAAAAUGAGCUGAUCCUAAGUAAUCGUUGUUGUUCAUUGGAUUCUGGAUGUGUCUGAAUUUCAUAUUUCCGUAUGUGGAAAGAAGGGCUAGAACUAGGGUUCAUACUCAAAACUAUUGUAGUUCCAGCUCUUUGAUCUAAUAAAACGUCUCUUUCUACCUUAUCACUUGCGAAUCAAUACGAAUACAAGCCUUCUCCAUCUUUCCGUGGUACUCACAAAGAUCCUACACAAAAAUCACCUAACAGUUUGGCGCUAGAAGGAGGGGAGUAAUCGAAACUACGUGAUAAUGGCGGUGGAUGAGCAGAACGAGCUACCCAAAGCUACCCCGAGAGAAGCCGAGCUCCAAAGGCAACUCGAUGGCAUCCAAAGCCAAGUAACCGAGCUAAACAGAGCUCGAAUAUAUGUUACUGAGAACCCCGAGCUCUCCUCAGAAGUCCAGAGCUUGAAGGAGAAGCUCAACGAACACUCCAAGCAACUGGAGCAGAGUGCCGGGAAGCUCAGCCAGCUCGAAUCGGAGAAUCUAAACCUCUGAGACGAGAACCAAGCCCUCAACACGACAAGUAACAAGAAGUGUUGAUUCCGGGCUUAGAUCCAGCCCAUGCCGAUUCUGGAGACACCUAACUCGGGAAAAGGUGUGAAUCUCCCACCUACGACAUCGCAUGGAGAUGCAGCAACGUAGAAGACAUCAAAUAAGAGCCGGAACCCGAUCAGGAAGCACCCGAGGGAGCAGCAAAAACGGAGUCUCCUAUGGUUGCUUACCUGGAGCAGAUGUUCUCCAAGAGGCUAGACGCCAUGCAGUCCAUGGUAGAAAGGCUCCCAGGGGUAGCUCCCCCAUCCGGAAGAGCAACUCCAACUCUUAUGCUGACACUCCUUUCACGGAUGAGAUCACCUUGAUCGAGAUGCCCAGGAAGUUCUCCUUUCCCAACAUAAAUGCGUAUGACGGCACCAGCGAUCCGGACGACCAUGUCGCCCAAUACAUACAAAGGAUGCUCGCUGUAGCACUCCUAAAGGAGUCGCAUGAAGCUACCAUGUGCUAUGGGUUCAGUUCAACCCUGUUAGGACCCGCUCUGCAAUGGUACAUCAACCUGCCCUCUAGGUCCAUAGCCUCCUUUGCUAUUCUCAGUGACAAGUUCAUAGAACAAUUCACCAGCAGCAGGGACCUGGAGAAAACCUCUGAUGGCCUCUACGAAAUCCUCCAACACCGGGCAUAACCCCUGCGAGUUUACAUAGCCCGCUUCAAUGAAGAGAAGGUGGCCAUUCCCGAAUGCAGCAUCCCCAUUGCCAUCUCUGCCUUCAAGACAGGUAUGCUCCCCGACGGGGACCUCUAUAAGGAGUUGACCAAAUAUCAGUACAAGACCAUGGAAGAUGUCCUGUCCCGAGCCUGGGCACAUGUAAAAUGGGAGGAAGAUGUCACCAGUCACGCUAAGGCGCAGCUAAAGCAAGACCCUAAGGCGGUCAGACCGGACCGAACCAAGCGAGAUGAGAAACCCUCUCCAAGACCAGCCAGGGAUUCCGGGAAGAGAAACUAGGGCAGAUACCAGAACUGGCCGAUCGAGAAGGCAUAAGGGAUGGCAGUGUCCACGUGGCCAGACAUCUCUCACUCUCCGUCUCAAGGCCGGAGCUGAUCAAUGUUCUAAGGCAGAUGGGCCAACAGGUCAAGUGGCCUCAGAAGAUGAAAGCGCUCGAUUCUUUCCGUAACCCUGGUCUCUGGUGCGACUUCCACUGAGACCAGGGUCACAAAAAGGAGGACUGCAUUGCCCAUAAGAUCGAGGUCAACAAAUUGCUUAAGAAAGGACACCUCAGGGAGUUCCUUUCCGAGAAGGCCAAGAGCCAUCUAAGCAAGGAGACAAUGGGUAAGCCCACUGAAGCUGCUCCUGUCUCGCCACCUCGACAUGACCGAGUGAUCCAUGUCAUAUCGGGCAGUUCGGAAAGCAGGGGUAUAAGCCACACAGCCGCGAAGAGGAGCACUUGGAGCGCCAAGCACGGCCUGGAGGCAACCAAGCCGAAACGCUUGCUCCUUGGUGUAAUAACCCUCUUUAAAGAGUAAAACGCAGACAGGGAAAAAUCAUGUAACAGCCGAGAAAAUUACUCAAGUAAGUGGAAGUCGGAUUGAUCUUUUCCCGUGGAUGUUUGUGGAUCCCAAGGUACAUUAGAAAGAUUUAGAAAGUCUUAGAAUUGUUUUCCAUCUGAAGAAAUAAAUUCUUCAGGAAGUUUAGUGGAUUGAAAAUGCUCGCGGUUCGGCCUAGAACGUCCUAGUCGGACGAGAAAAUUAAUCGAAAAUUUAUAAUAGGGCCUUAAGAUAGGAAUGACCUUAGAGUUAUUUUAGAAAUGUUUUGGUUUAAGAAAUCUAGGUUUUUGUCAAGAAGAAACAUUUCCGCCAGCUCGGAUCAGCUUAUAACACGUUCGGGAUUUAAAUACGGCCCAUUCGGGACCAUCUACAAUGUGUUAAGCAUAUCCGGAAGCUUCCGGAAGAUGCAGCAGCCUACUCACCUCCUUCAGGCAGCUGGACAUGUGCGUCUCCUUGACUGGACCACCUCCAAGCAGUUCUUGUCUCAUUUCUAUUGGAUGCUUUGGUGGCUGGCCACAAAGCUUGGUUUUAUUGGCCAAAAUUGUGGCUAAGACACCAAGCUGUCUCCUAUUGGUUGGUUUGGGACACAGAGACACCUCCUGCUUGCCAUGCACGACCUAUACCUUCUGCUGAGCUCAUUAUCCACCCCUAUAAAUAGCAGACACCCCCUUAGUCAUUUCUCAUGCUUAGAACCCUAACCAUAGCAGCUCGAAAAAGUCGAAACCCUUAGGUAAAGCUUUCUUUUUAUUUAGAUUUUGUUUUUCUUUUCUUUAUUUUCUUAGUUAGAACUUGGAUAGCCUUUCUUACCCUAUCCUUCCUGUAUUUAGAUUUCUAAAGCUCUAGAGUUUUCCGAUAAAAGUUUAAAGUGAAGCCGACCGCGAGAUAGAACCAUUUCCAGUCCGAAACUUUCAUCUAAGUGUUGAGGUGAGUCUCGGUUAUGGGUUAUGAUUGUUGUGUGUGCGGCUAGCGCCUGCAAAGCAAGAGUAUUGGUUGAUGCAUUUCUAGGUUGCGCGUUUAGAUAUAUAAUGAUAUGAUAAUGAUUGAUGUUUGCGGCUCGAGGGGUAUAACAUGAUUGUGAUACAUUGAUGUUGUGUUGCAUUUACUUAUGUCAUUGCAUUGUAUUGUUUGGGCCUCGGCUCAGAUAAUAUAACAUGUUUGAUCAUAUCUUAACGGGGAAACCCGUAAAUCCACGGACUUGAUCCGUGAGGGUCCGACACUCGGGUGGAGUGUCAUGAGAGUCAUUGGUGUCCACUCGAGGCACGUUCCUUGUCCGGGGCCUUACCAAAAUUAGUUCUGGGCAGGACGCGAAGACACGUGUGAUAGGGCUAGCUACCCUCGACCGUGUAGCUGCAUGACGAUGCGGAAAGUGUGUUAUCCGGGCCAUCGGCUUUUUAGACUUUGUGUUUAGAGUCAAUGGGCGCAAGAAGGGAUGUGUUAUGGACUUUGUAUCGAGAUAGGAACCAAUGGCUAGAGGCAGUCCUCGAUGAUCGAUAAAGAUCUAACCACUCGUGAAGAGUGGAUGCUUGUUUACAUGAUUGCUUUAUUUUUGCAUUGCAUAUUUCUUCAUAUAAUUGAUCCUUGUUGCUUAAUGUUUGAUGUAAAAUGGGGGGAUAAAUAAUUGUUAGGAAACCCGACUCACUGAGCAAAAGAGUUGCUCAUUAGACUCUUUCUUUUGCAGGUAACCCGUAGUAGGUUCCAUUUGGGAUCGGAGGAGCACAAAGUUGUUGGUGUAGAUUUGCUACCUUUUGCAAACAUGUACGUUUGUAAUAUGUAAGAUAUGGUUUUGAACUUCGGCCGAGCAUGUAUAAAGUUUUGAUGUGGUUGAACUUAAAGUAUAUAUGAAUAAGAAAAGGUUUGUGAAAUGCUUGGAUUCCAUAUGAUACUAGUCCUACUCUGGGACGAACUAACUAACGGUUUAAAACUCGGGUUGCAAAGCCUUAACUUGGAAUCGCUAGGAAACCCAUUCUUGGACAUAUGAUCUUUGGAUUUCAGAUCUGAUCCGGGAACCUGUUGUCAAAUGUUUGGGCACGUGGUAGUAGUAUCUUCGAUCUGGUUAGAGUUCUUUAGUUCAUCGUGCAUGUUCUUGUUUGAUUGGUGCAUGGCAAACUAAUUAACUUUUACUUAUUCCGGAUCGGGGGUGUUACAACAAAAGGUGGUAUCAGAGCAUGGUUCACUUUACUCACUUGGGAACCUGUUUUCAAUAAUUUAUUGAGUCAAAGGUGUCGCAAAAGGUAGAAUAGGAAACCAACAUGCUCCUUUGUUAGAUAAGUUGAGUUUAGUACUUACCCUGGGUUGUACUGCAGUAUGUUUCCAAGACGUACAAGGAGUGAGGAGCCAAUGAUGACACCACCAUGAUAUAGAAAAUGUAACUCUGAAGACCGCAGAGUCUAUUCAAACCUUGAGGUAACAGAUGAUUCUGCGAUAGCAAAAGGAAAUAACCACUACUAUGAACCCGAACAUGAGUCGACCGGGAGAAAUCUGACAGAUUCACAUAUGGGCUAUGAGCAAGAAGAACGAUAUGAGGAUUUGAGGGAGAGGAACUGAGCACCUGAUAUGUAUGGAUCGAGGCGGAAUUAUGCAACAGCACAUAAUCCAAGGCAGAAUGAAUCUGAGUUCAGGCACCGGGAAAGGACGCCCGAGCCAUGUUAUAGGCAAGAACAGAGGACAGUUGGAAGUUCAGAUCCUCUUAUAGUAUUAGUACAAGGCUUGCUAGAUAGACUUGAUCAUAGAACCGGUGAAUCAUCAGAGCGAAGACCAUCCUCCCCUCCUGAUUACCUAAAAAUGGUCACGUUAAUGAAGAAGUUUGGAACCGUUAGAUACCCUGGAGGAACAUAUCCCUUCGAAGCGUCAGCAUGGCUGAGGAAUUUGGAGAAAAACUUUCGGGCUAUCCACUGCCCUGAUAAUUUCAAGAAGGAUGUGGCAAUAUACUACUUGACCAAAGAUGCUUCUGAUUGGUGGGAUAACACGGAAGAAUACUAUAUGCGAAGAGAGAUCGACUGGGAAGAUUUGAAAAAGGAGUUUGAGCGGAAAUACUUCCCACCUGAAGCAAAAGACCGACUGGAGAUUCAAUUCUUGGAGUUAACUCAAAGAAACCGGAAAUUCAGGGAGUAUGAGGCGGAGUUUACAAAGCUAAGGAAAUAUUCUCCUUAUGGAGCAAGGUAUGAGGGUGCACUAAUUCGAAGGUUUAUAAGAGGAUUGCGAGCGGAUUUGGCUAGCCGACUGCAAGUUGUGAAGUUUCAUAGCCUUUAUGAAUUGGCAGAGAUAGCAGUAAUUGUUGAAGAAGGUAUGGAAAAGGAGCAAGCCAUGAUGAAGCAUGCAGAACCAUCUCGCAGAACUGAAGGGCUAGGAGUGCGAAGAAUGAAUAAUAAAGGACAAUUUAAUCGAGGGAGAGGCCGAGGAAGAAGGAAUGACAGACGGUUUACGAAUGGCCCAGAUUUGUGUCACUUGUGGUGGUACAGGCCAUUUUUCUAGCAAUUGUCCUUAUAGUCAGAGAAGGAAAGCCCCUGAUUAUAUUACUUGCUUCUCGUGUGGUGAGAAAGGGCAUUAUGCCAACAGUUUUCCCCAUAAGAGACAGGUUACACUUCCAGCACCACCCACUAGACUAGCGAUUGAACCAGGUCCGAAGCGCCAGGCAGUUGGAAAGCAAGUGAAUGCAAUAGAGUUAGGAAAGCCCGAACCACAACAGCCCCAUCAGGGCCCGAUCACAGGUAAGUAGGGUUUUAACUCAUUGCUUGUUUGUGUGAAUUUGAUGCAUGAAAUAUAAAAUGUGAAAUAAAUAUUGUUUAGGAACAUUGUGUGUUGGUGGAGUUUAUGUGCAUGUUCUCUUCGACUCGGGUGCCACACUUAGCUUUGUGAUACCCGAGGUAGUGUCGAGUUUUAAGGGAACAUUUACCAGAGUAAAGGUAGGUGUUUCAGUUAGAACCCCUGGGAACCAUAACCUUCGUGCCGAUAGUUGUGUACUUGGGAUUCCAAUCUAUGUGGGAUCAACGGUAUAUCCGACAGACCUGCUAGUUGUUCCUUUAGGACAACACGAAGUGAUUUUGGGCAUGGACUGGCUGUCGAGAUACUACGCACAGUUGGAUUGUGGUCGAGGAAGAAUUACACUUGAAGAAAGAGGACAACCAUUAACGACAUACUAUGGAGUAUGUCCAAGUGCUGGAGUGUCACUUGUAUCUGCCUUAAGAGUUGAGAAAGAUUUGAUCGAGGGCGAGGUAUAUCUUGUCACUCUAACUACCCUUGGAGGAGAAUUGAAAGAAGAGACAAAGUUGGAAGAGAUAGCAGUAGUAAAAGAAUACCAGGAUGUAUUCCAGCCAUUGGAAGGAUUGCCCCUACCACAAAGUGAUCCUUUCACAAUUACAUUAGAGCCGGGAGCAGCCCCAAUAGCUAAGGCACCUUAUCUAAUGGCUCCAGCUGAGCUUGCUGAAUUAAAGAAGCAGUAGGAAGAUUUGAUAGAAAAAUGAUUUAUCAGACCGAGUUCUUCACCAUGGGGAGCACCAGUCUUAUUUGUAAAGAAGAAAGACGGUACCAUGCGGUUAUGCAUCGAUUAUAGAGGGAUUAGCAAUGUUACAGUAAAGGACAAUUAUCCCUUGCCAAGGAUCGAUGAAUUGUUGGAUCAGCUUCAUGGGGAAAGCUGGUUCUCAAAGAUAGAUUUGGCAUCGGGAUACCAUCAAAUCCCAAUAUCUGAGUCCGAUAUCAUGAAGACGGCUUUUAGGACCUGGUAUGGCCACUAUGAAUUUGUGGUAAUGCCUUUUGGUCUUACUAAUGCGCCGGCUGCUUCCAUGCGCUUGAUGAAUGAUAUAUUUCGUGAUUACUUGGAUAAAUUUGUACUCAUCUUUAUUGAUGAUAUACUUAUUUAUUCCAAGAGUAAAGAGGAACAUGCAGAGCACCUCCAAAAGGUGUUGGAGCGAUUAAGAAGCCAUAAGUUGUUCGUAAAGUUUAGUAAAUGUAGUUUCUGGAAAAGGGAUAUUGGAUUCCUUGGUCAUCGAGUGUCAAAGAAGAGUGUUGCAGUAGAUCCUGAAAAGGUUGAAGUAGUUAAGGACUGGCCACGCCCUACCAGCACUACCAAGGUUCGAAGCUUUCUAGGAUUGGCUGGGUAUUAUCGAAAGUUUGUGAGGAACUUUUCCAUCUUAGCCAAACCCUUGACGAGGCUGAUUGGGAAAGAUAUAUCAUUUGAAUGGGAUAAGAAAGAGGAAAAGGCUUUUUACACAAUUAAAGGAAGCUUUGAUGACUGCACCUAUUCUUGCAUUACCUACUACAGGAAGACCUUACACAGUAUACACUGAUGCUUCUCGAGUAGGACUGGGUUGUGUCCUGACGCAGGAUGAAAAGGUCAUCGCCUAUGGUUCAAGACAGUUAAGGAAGCACGAGGAGGGGUUUACCUGAUUGUGCUACAUUGAUGUUGUGUUGCAUUUACUUAUGUCAUUGCAUUGUAUUGUUUGGGCCUCGGCUCAGAUAAUAUAACAUGUUUGAUCAUAUCUUAACUGGGAAACCCGUAAAUCCACGGACUUGAUCCUUGAGGGUCCGACACUCGGGUGGAGUGUCGUGAGAGUCAUUGGUGUCCACUCGAGGCCCGUGCCUUGUCCGGGGCCUUACCAAAAUUAGUUCCGGGCAGGACGCGAAGACACGUGUGAUAGGGCUAGCUACCCUCGACCGUGUAGCUGCAUGACGAUGCCGCAAGUGUGUUAUCCGGGCCAUCGGCUUUUUAGAUUUUGUGUUUAGAGUCAAUGGGCGGAAUAAGGGAUGUGUUAUUGACUUUGUAUCGAGAUAGGAACCAAUGGCGAGAGGCAGUCCUCGAUGAUCGAUAAUGAUCUAACCACUCGUGAAGAGUGAAUGCUUGUUUACAUGAUUGCUUUAUUUUUGCAUUGCAUAUUUCUUAAUAUAAUUGAUCCUUGUUGCUUAAUGUUUGAUGCAAAAUGGGGGGAUAAAUAAUUGUUAGGAAACCCGACUCACUGAGCAAAAUAGUUGCUCAUUAGACUCUUUGUUUUGCAGGUAACCUGUAGUAGGUUCCAUUUGGGAUCGGAGGAGCACAAAGCUGUUGGUGUAGAUUUGCUACCUUUUGUAAACAUGUACGUUUUGUAAUAUGUAAGAUAUGGUUUUGAACUUCAGCC